rnacentral:lncRNA from 1 species
UUAAACUAAUAAUAAAAUAAUAGAUAUAACCAAUGUCUGAUUGUAUCUUUUGGAGAUAAACUCCUCAUAGAUACCAGGGUUGAAAUUUUGUAUUUUCGCCAGACGCACGAUUCGUCUACAAAAGACUCGUCAGUGACGCUCCAAUCAAGCCAUUUUGUUCCUCGCUGAACAAAUCAUUCGAAAUCAAAGACUCUGUGAUCCUUGUACUCGAUCACAUUUACAACUGUUGGCAUUAAACUAAUGGAUCGCUCCUUAUGUGGCACUCUUCAAUCUGUCCUUUCCUAAUGUAUAGGACGGAUGAUACUAUAGUCCCAUUUAGUUGGGAAAAUAUUAUGAUCAAACCACAAAUGGAAUAGUUUCAAUAAAAUCUUGUUCAAUUUUUCUCAUUUUAGUUUCAGUUGGUUUUUUUUUCUAUACAAGUUGCUUUAUUUGUCCUCUUGGCUUUAAGAGCAUUUCAAAUUUCCUAAAGAAUUAUAUCACAGUUUAGUAUAAGUUCACAGUCCCAUUUUAUUUAUUUUUUUUUUUUUUUUUAGUUCAGCUCGUUUGUAAGGUUAUACAUUUACGAUUUUCGACAAUCCGCUUUUCUUAUUUCUGUAUCAAUAUGUGUGUGGUUUCAUUAAAUUCAUCACUAACCUGAUUCCAUUCUUCAUCUUUGAAUAAACCUGAUAUAUCACCUUUCCGUAUCUAUAAGAAUUCUUUUGAAUGAUGUGAGACAGUACCAUUUUCUUGUUAUAUUUACGCUCCUCAAUUGUCAGGCCAAGUUUACCGAUUUCUUUAACAAGUGUUUCUGGAUUGUUGUGUUUAAAACUUUUAUUUUGUCACUUUGUCAUGUUUUGUAGUUACAUUCUGCUGGCGUAUUGUUGUUUUUCUUUUUGUCACAAAUGUCGGAUUUCCUUACAUGUUUGUCGUAAAUGUGUUCUUCUCAAUGCGGUUCCUUUACACUGUAAGUGCAAACUUUCAAUAUCUCUCACUUGUUGCCCAAUUCUUAGAGUUCAUUGUAACACAAAUAUUUUUAUUUCUACGCCCUUUUUCCCCUUUUUCAUGCUUGAUAUUUUAACAGUUACUUUAUAAUGUAAAGAGGUAAUUAUAUAUUAUCAUUUUUUCUUUGAAUACUUUGAAUAUUUUCUAGUCUAUGAAUAAAAAGAUUUAAAAGGUUCUUUUUAAAUAGCAUGAACGAUGUGUUGGUUUAAGAACAUGUCUAUUGGAAUAACGUUUGUGGUGUGUCUUGAACUGUGUGUUGGUUUAAGAACAUGUCUAUUGGAAUAACGUCUGUGGUGAACUGUGUGUUGGUUUGAGGUCUAUUGGAAUAACGUUUGUGGUGUUGGUUUAAGAACAUGUCUACUGGAAUAACGUUAGUGGUGUAUCUUGAACUGUGUGUUGGUUUAAGAACAUGUCUAUUGGAAUAACGUUUGUGGUGUAUCUUGAACUGUGUGUUGGUAACAUGUCCAUUAGAAUAACGUUUGUGAGUGCAUCUUGAACUGUGUGUUGGUUUAAGGUCUAUUGGAAUAACGUUUGUGGUGUUGGUUUAAGAACAUGUCUAUUGGAAUAACGUCUGUGGUGAACUGUGUGUUGGUUUUAAAAGGUCUAUUGGAUUAACGUUUGUGGUGUAUCGUCGAU